rfam:Haemonchus contortus, ISE/inbred ISE, WGS project CAVP01000000 data, contig: Hcontortus_5396
GGCCCGAAUUUGAAGUAAAGUAGAAUAGAGGGAUCAUCUGACUCUACUAAACUACUCUACUUCGAGUUUGUGCCC